CAAUAGCGUAUAUUAAAGUUGUUGCGGUUAAAAAGCUCGUAGUUGGAUUUCUGUUGAGGAAGUCCGGUCCGCACUUUGUGCGUGAUCUGGUUCUGCCUCGGCAUCCUCGCGGGGAACAUGCUGCGCUUGAUUGCGUGGUGUGGUAUUCGCGACUUUUACUUUGAGGAAAUUAGAGUGUUCACGGCAGACAAUUGUCUUGAAUACGUUAGCAUGGAAUAAUAAUAUAGGACCUUGGUUCUAUUUUGUUGGUUUCUAGAACUAAGGUAAUGAUUAAUAGGGAUAAUUGGGGGCAUUUGUAUUAACACGUCAGAGGUGAAAUUCUCGGAUUGUGUUACGACAAACUACUGCGAAAGCAUUUGCCAAGGAUGUUUUCAUUGA
rnacentral:rRNA from 1 species